rnacentral:misc_RNA from 1 species
GAAAUGCGAUAAGUAAUGUGAAUUGCAGAAUUCAGUGAAUCAUCGAAUCUUUGGACGCACAUUGCGCCCGCCAGUAUUCUGGCGGGCAUGCCUGUUCGAGCGUCAUUUCAACCAUCAAGCCCCGCGCUUGUGUUGGGGACCUGCGGCUGCCGCAGGCCCUGAAAACCAGUGGCGGGCUCGCUGUCACACCGGGCGUAGUAGAUUUUAUCUCGCUCAGGGCGUGCUGCGGGUUCCGGCCGUUAAAAAGCCUUUUUUACCCAAGGUUGACCUCGGAUCAGGUAGGAAGACCCGCUGAACUUAAGC